rnacentral:rRNA from 1 species
GAUGAACGCUGGCGGCGUGCCUAAUACAUGCAAGUCGAGCGAACAGAUGAGGAGCUUGCUCCUCUGACGUUAGCGGCGGACGGGUGAGUAACACGUGGAUAACCUACCUAUAAGACUGGGAUAACUUCGGGAAACCGGAGCUAAUACCGGAUAAUAUAUUGAACCGCAUGGUUCAAUAGUGAAAGACGGUUUUGCUGUCACUUAUAGAUGGAUCCGCGCCGCAUUAGCUAGUUGGUAAGGUAACGGCUUACCAAGGCAACGAUGCGUAGCCGACCUGAGAGGGUGUUCGGCCACACUGGGACUGAGACGCGGUCCAGACUCCUACAGGAGGCAGCAGUAGGGAAUCUUCCGCGAUGGGCGGAAUCCUGACGGAGCAACGCCGCGUGGGUGAUGAAGGGCUUCGGAUCGUAAAACUCUGUUAUUAGGGAAGAACAAAUGUGUAAGUAACUAUGCACGUCUUGACGGUACCUGAUCAGAAAGCCACGGCUAACUACGUG